UGGGGAAUAUUGGACAAUGGGCGAAAGCCUGAUCCAGCCAUGCCGCGUGUGUGAAGAAGGUCUUCGGAUUGUAAAGCACUUUAAGUUGGGAGGAAGGGCAGUAAGCGAAUACCUUGCUGUUUGAACGUUCCCGACGGAAUAAGCACCGCCAAACUUUGUGCCAGCAGCCGCGGUAAUACAGAGGGUGCAAGCGUUAAUCGGAAUUACUGGGCGUAAAGCGGGCGUAGGUGGUUCGUUAAGUUGAAUGUGAAAGCCCCGGGCUCAACCUGGGAACUGCAUCCAAAACUGGCGAGCUAGAGUAGGGCAGAGGGUGGUGGAAUUUCCUGUGUAGCGGUGAAAUGCGUAGAUAUAGGAAGGAACACCAGUGGCGAAGGCGACCACCUGGGCUCAUACUGACACUGAGGUGCGAAAGCGUGGGGAGCAAACAGG
rnacentral:rRNA from 1 species